rnacentral:snoRNA from 1 species
UGCUGCUGUAUGGUAUCUGCACCCAGCAGUGUUCUUCUGAUGGGGUGUUCAAAAACCAGUGCUACAGUAGCUCAGCAUUUGGCAUCGUUGGUUUUCACUCUGCUGUGGUUGUUAAGCCUGGUAUUCGUGCUGAGACAGUC